UACGUAGGGUGCAAGCGUCGUCCGGAAUUAUUGGGCGUAAAGAGCUUGUAGGCGGUUUGUCGCGUCUGCUGUGAAAUUUCGGGGCUCAACCCCGAACUUGCAGUGGGUACGGGCAGACUAGAGUGUGGUAGGGGAGACUGGAAUUCCUGGUGUAGCGGUGAAAUGCGCAGAUAUCAGGAGGAACACCGAUGGCGAAGGCAGGUCUCUGGGCCAUAACUGACGCUGAGGAGCGAAAGCAUGGGGAGCGAACAGG
rnacentral:rRNA from 1 species